CUCUCCUUCCCCGAAAGAAGAGGGCUCUUCUAAAACCCACUGUUAGCUGGGUCAUUGUGCUUCUGACUCUGGAGUCCAGCCAGGCUGUGGUGACAGUUUACUACAAAGCCAACCCCAUACUGAUGUCAUGCCCCACAGUUCCUGUGGUGCUGUGGAGAAUCUAUGCCAUAAACUUUGGAGGGCCCUGGCUCUGGGGAGCUCUACUUAGUGGUCCUGUCUCCCUGUUUCUAACCCAUAAUCUCUGUUUGCAGAUGCCCAAAUAGUAUCUUGUGCCUCUUACCACCUGUGGUGCUGGGAAUUGAACCUAGAGUCUCAUACAUGCUAAGCAAGCACUCUGCCCCUCAACUACACCCCUAACUCCUAAAUGCCCUUGAAUUAAGCCUCCUAUUGAUUUGUACCUCACCUUGUGGAGACAGGAGGAUGACCCUCAGUUUCUCAGAGUCUCAGAACUGGUGAUACUGGUACAGGUACAGACAGGGCAAUUCUGGCUUUCUCUUCCAUAAGAAAAUUCUAGAUUUGAAGAGGUGAGCCGGGCGUGGUAGCAAAUGCCCACGCCUUUAAUCCCAGCACUCGGAGGCAGAGGCAGGGGGUCUUUUGUGAGUUCGAGGCCAGCCAGGUCUACAAAGGGAGAUCCAGGACAGUCAGAGCUGUUAUACAGAGAGACCCUGUCUUCACCACCACCCCCAAAAGGCAACUUAUCCCUCUGCCCACUGUGCCAUCUUUUGGCCAGGCUUUGCUGAGGUUCUUUGGGGUCAAGGUCUUUGGCAGGGGCAGUGGAAUUUGUUCUACUGAAAACGAAACCUGGCAACAACCUUACAAAGAACACAUAGCUGGCUAAGUUGAAAGGAAGUAUGUAUCAUCUUCCAGGCGCUUCCUGGGCCUGGAAUGGAAAAUGCUCCUGGAAUGCUGAUUUGGAAUACAUCUUUCAUGCUCACAGAAAUCCCUUCCCACAUGGCCAGGGUUCCAGAGACAAGGCCGGAAGUUCUCUGUCCCCAGCAGGUACCGUUUGCUGCAGGUCUUCUUUUCCAGCCUCCUAUGGCUUUGGGUUUUCUUGUUUGUAUGUUUUGUCUUGGCAUUUUCCCUGAACACCGUCUUUACGCUGAGUGCAGAGACAAUGGGUUCAUUGUUAUUUUCAGUAUCAAACGCAGGGUGAUGCUUUGCAGAGGUCCAGAAAACGGCAGGCAUUGGACCAUGUGUGUGACACUUUCGACCAGGCAGGAGUUUACUGUGUGCUCUCCUCUGCCUGUCCACACCCACUCUUCACCCAUUUCUUGGAGGACUGAGUCCUGGCUCCCUGUCUUGGUGCCUGUGUUUAACCAAUAUGAGGAGAAUGGGGACUCAUGGGAUCUAGUCCCUCUCCCAGGGUGGCCUUAGGUUGGCUGCCCCCUCUUGCUGAAGGGGUCAGCUCUGUUUCCUGCUCUUCUCUACUUUCCUUCUGUAGGCCUUGGGGGAGCCCCUGAUCCCCAGAUAUGCUAGUUCCAUAUGACCACCCCUUGGGUCAGUCUUCUGGACCCUGCCACUCAGGUCUCUGAUUCCCACUGGGAUUGGGACUAACACAGAAACAGUGGAUACACACAUGGAGGACAGAAUGGGGAGUUAAGAACGAGCAAAGAUUAACUACUUUUAAGAGUGACCGUUUCCCCCAUCUUGUUCUUCCAAUGCGCGCAGCUGGCCAGCCUCAGAGCAAAUCUCUCUCCAUUCUCCAGAAGGAAGAACGGACAGUUAACUCCUCCCCAGUCUCCAGCACCGGCUCAUUUCUGUGCCUGCUCAGCCCCAUGGUUCCCAUCACUGCCUGCCCUGCCCUGUGCCUCCUGUCACCUCGGAACAUGUCCUAGGCAGAGCUGAUGAUGCAAGUGGAUGCAGAUAGACAACUUUCCUCCUCAGAAAUACCCACCCUUGCUGAGUCAAGCACCUUCUAGAAUAGUCUGGGCGGCAGGAAGCUGGUUGCUCUGUGAAUGAUCAUUUCUGGCAUCAACCACACACCAGCAGGCUGGGGCCUGAGCUGAUUCAUCAGAUGGCCUGGGCAAGCAGAGCGCCACAUGGCUGUUUCUGCUCCUCCCUCGAUAAUCUGAAGGCUCUCAGAAGACUGUGACUAAUGGGGACAUCUGAAGACAGGAGAUGCUGAGGCUGGUGUGUGUGUGUGUGUGUGUGUGUGUGUGUGUGUGUGUGUGUGUGUGUGUUUUGGUCGGGAGAGUCAGCUCAAGUCCAGACCGAGUAUGAGCAUAUGCAUUGAGAGGAGCAUGUCUCAACCUGUGGUUCAUAACCCCUUUGGGGAUCACAUGUCAGAUAUCCUGCAUAUCAGAUAUUUACAUUAUGAUUCAUAACAGUAGCAAAAUUACACCUAUGAAGUAGCAACGAAAAUAAUUUUACGGUUUGGGGGUCACCACAACCUGAGGGACUGUAUUAAAGGGUCGCAGCAUUAGGAAGGUUGAGAACCACUGAUCUAGAGGGCUGGCCUUGGGACUUCACGGAGAAGCCUUCAGGCUGGAUUUGCUCAAGUUGAGCUCCUUGAGGAGGGGAAAGAGCAGAGAACUUUUGCAGGUCUGAUGCUGUGAAAAUUAGGCAGCUUCCCUGGGUCUCAGUUUCUUCUCUAAAAUGGGCUUAAUAUAAAGGACAGCCUACAGAUCGAAUAUAAGGGAACCCUCACUUCUGAUUGGCAUGGAAACCGGAGACCAGAUGAGUGUGCUGGUGCAGGCCUGUGAUCCCAGCUAUUCCAGAGGGCAAGGUGGGAGGGGUACCAGUUUGAGGCCCCUUCAGCGAUUUCAAAGCCAGCCUAAGUAACUUAGAGGGACUCUGUCUCAUAAUGAAAACAAGGGUUGGGGAUGAUGUAGCUCAGUAGUGCUUGACUAGUAUGCAUGAAGUUCGGGGUUCCAUUCCCAGUCCAGGAAGAAAGGAAGGAAGGAAUUGAACUCGCAAGGGGUGUGAAGAGAGCAGGGGAAGCCGAGAAGGCACAAAAGGGGCUUUGCUGGCUGCAGUUUUGUGAGCCAGGUUGGGGCUGCUCAGCCGGCAUAAGCAGCACCCGCCUUGGUUCUUUCUCUUUUUUGUUUAUUUUUAUUUUAUGUGCAUUGGUGUUUUGCCUGUGUGUGUGUCUGUGUGAGGGUCCCCUGGAACUGGAGUCACAGACAGUUGUGAACUGUGUGGGUGCUGGGAAUUGAACCUGGGUCCUCUGGAAGAGCAAUCAGUGCUCUUAACCACUAGGCCAUCUCUCCAGCCCCUCACCUUGGUUCUUGUGGGGCAUGCACCAAACCCUGACUUCUCCACUGGGGCUCUGCGGCCUUAGGCAGCCCUCUGUGUCUCCAUUUUCUUAUUUGUAAAAUGACAUCACUAACAAGGCCUCACAGGGUUGCAGCAAAUGCGUUAAUGAGUCUAAAACUCUUAGAACUCUGUCUGGCUCUAACAAGUGCUCCUGAACGUUAAGCAAUCCCUGCUCAGCCCAGCGCCCACGGAAGGCGGCUGUGUUCCACUCGGCUCAAGUGUGCAAGGCUUCUUUGUGGCAAGGAGCUGGGUAAAUGGAGACCGAUUUUUUUUGUUUGGUUUUCUUUCUAGAAGAGCUGCCUCCUCUUGGGUCUUGUCCUUUUGGCAUAUGUGAAGAAGGAGGAGGACGCAGAGCCCUUAGAGAGAGCCACUGGGACUUGGCAUGUGAUACCCACAUGUAAUCGCAACACUCAAAGUCUGAGCAAGAGUUGAAAGUCAGGUUGCAUAGUGAAGCCCUGUCUCAACAAACAACAAACAAACAAACAAACAAACAAACAAACGGGCUGGGGCUACGGCUCAGCAGCAGAUUACUGACCCAGUUUGCACAAGGCCCUGCGUUCAAGCCAAAGUACCACAAGAAAACCGACCAACCAAUAAUCAAUCAAUCAAAACAAUAAAACCAUCUACGGGAAGCCCUCCCUCGAGUCUUCGGGGACUAUGGUUUAUGUGCCUAUUAUGGGUUGUGGGUACUAUGGGAAAGAGAAGGUGGAGGAUUAACAACAAAGGUAACCUAGACCAGGGCCUGACCGGAGAAAUCCCAGUGACAACUCUCCCCCUGAAUUCAGUCAGCUUUAGUUUUUGCUUGGUCUGAGUCUGAGGGUGUGGGAGCAGCAAUGGUACCAGAGAAGUGGUGUCACCCCAAGGUCAGAAAGGGGUGCUCUAGAGUCCAGCUCUGCCACCCGCAGAGUUCUAAAAGUCCUAGUGCAUCACACGUACAAUGAAGAUGUACAAUGGCACCAUCUUCCCAGGGUCUAUGCUGUGACCAUCCAGUGUCAGCUGCUGUUAACACAACCCUGCCAAGAGGUUCCAGGGACAGUCCCCAAAGAUGUCUAUGUCCUCGUCUCUGGAGCCUGUGAAUAUAUCAUCUUACAUGGCAAAAGGGACGUGGUAAGUGUGAUUAAACUUGAGAUCUUGAGCUAGGGAGGUUAUCUGGGUUAUCUUAGGGGAGCUCACGGAACAGCUGGAGUGAAAGAGGGAGGCAGGAGACCCGUCAGCCAUUGUCCGUUUUGAAGGAGGGAAGAAGAAUGAGGCAAAAAAUGCCGGCAGCUUGUAGAUGAAAAAGGCUACUGGAUGGAGGUCCUCCGGAAGAGCCUUCACAGACGACCCCACCCUGGGAGCUCUUGGAUCUGACCUUCGAAAUUCUGAGAUUAUAGCUCUGUGCUGUUCUGAGACACUGUAUUUGUGGUCAUUUGUCAUACUGGUGACAGGGAAUGAGUCCAGCCACUGAGUCCCCACAGAGCAGUCUCCUUGCAGGACGGACCAACUGAAGGAGACUCCACGGCAUUUACACCGUCCAUCCUCUCCUCUGUAUAGCUCCACAACUGAGGCCAUGGAACCGAAUGUCUGUGCUUGGGCACUACCCAGGGAUGGAACCUUCUAGGAUAGAGCUCGGUUUCUAGAGAAACUGGGCUCUCAUUAGGCUUUUCUGUAGGGAUCCUGAAGGAUGGAAGUGUGGGUUUGGAUGAGGAGCAGGAGGAGGGCAGAGAGAAAGACAGGACAUCAUUGGAACGGGACCGAGAGAUCAGGUACUCAUUCGCCUCUAUCUUCCCCACCCCAGGGAGGGGCACCUGGAUAGUGAUGGAGACCAGGAAAUACUUUUCGUGAUAAAUGGAGUAGCAAACAAUACACCACAAGAAAGCAGGGCCGAGGCACAGUGGGAGAGGUAGGGCCUCUUGAUGGGUGCAUGUCGGGUGGCUUCCUGGAAGAAGCAUCCCUCCAGCCGCUGCAAACAGGAUGAAGUGAAGUGCUCUCUACCGCCGGUAGCCCUGUGAAGCGCAGGUGCCGACUGGAAGCAUUUAGUGAUUUCUGUUGCUAUUCUCUAUCGAUUUCUGUUGUUAUUCUCUAUCCGGUUCUCUUUUAAUUUGUCUAAUUAUACUGAGGAGGAAGUCUCUGCUGGGCACAGGCGUACCUGGCAUGCCCCUAGAGUUCUGUUAUAAUGUAAGACCAGCUCAGGCUGGUCUGCAGGCAGCAGGCGCAAGGCUUCAGUGCUCUGCUCGGCUUGUCCUUAUUUUCAGUUUUUGCCUAACUACUUUCCUUUUGUGUUAGGAUACUGGUUUUCCUUUUCUGGGUACGGAAUACAGUUUCUUUGUAUAGCAAGGACCUCUCUCGAUUCCUGCCCGCAGUGGUUAGUUGACAGGGAUGAGCUCCCUUCAGAACCUCGGGACAGAGCUCAGCUCAGCGCUGGGUUGGUCCAUGAGAAUGAAUGAAUGAAUGAAUGAAUGAAUGAAUGAAUGAAUGAAUGGGAGAACGAAGAAAUGAAAGGAAGGGUAAAUUGGAACUCAACAAAUAAUCCUGUGCCCCUCCCUUCUCCUUCCUCUCCCUGGGCCAGGGCCCACCCUGCGUUCCUCUCCAUUGGCCAUGCCACUGGUGGUCCCUGGUCCGCUGCCCUACACGUGACAAAUAGGAGGGUCAGGACAUGUCCCAGCAGCUGGACUUCUGAGACCUGCUCCCUCCGGAAGCCUAGGCCGGGGGACCUCUCUGAUCUGCUGACCCUCACACAGCGUGGCAGGGCUCAUCAAAGCAGAUCGGAUUGGGAGAAUGACUGCUAUCUCCCAGCCCUCCUCCUCUCCAUCUCCGCCCCUAGGCCUUUAUUCAGGAGCUUGGGAUUUGAAAUUUCCGCUGCUGCCAGAGCCAGAGGAGUCCAGGAGCGUCAUUGCUGAAGGCACUAGGUGACGACAGUGGCGGUCCUGUCCCCUAGCUCUGGCUGACGUCUGGCUGCUGCCAGGCAGAGCCUCAGUGCCAAGCUGGCUUUCUGCGGUGCCCCCCGGAGAAGGGAAAGAGUGUAGGUGGGGAUGGGCCCUGGGUCAGCCCGACACAGGUUCUCAAACCCAGGCUCCCCAAGGCUGUCUCGGGGCAGCUGAGUUUGGAAUGACCUGCCAUGUCCACCGUGUCACCUGAAUCACCAGAUACUGAGUGGGUUCUCCUGCUUCCAGGCCAGCCUUAGGGCUGGAAGGACAAGGAAGCCACUAAAGAAGAGCUGCUGUGGGAGCAUCUACCCAUCUCAAUUUCAGGUUAGGCCCGCCAGCCUCACUUCCCUUCUGCUCUCUUGUUGUUGUUUUUUGGUUUUGGCCAUUUCUUCUCGAUCUUAUAUCUCUCCCUGCCGUAGCCCACUCCUAUGGUGAGGAGUUGGCCCAUUCUGGCUCCUGAGAGCAGAACACUGAAUUGUGCAAACCAGUUGUUAAAAGAGGCCAUCACCAGGAGAGGAGGGAGGGGAAACUGUAGUCCAGAUGUCGGGAUGUCAAAUAAAUGAACAAAUUUAAUUAAUAAAAACAAGGUGGCCAUUACCUAAGAUGAACUUAUGUCAAGCUAUGCUCAAACAACAUAAUAAAAACAAAGAUCAGAAAAACUCAAAAUUCA